UACGUAGGGGGCUAGCGUUGUCCGGAAUCACUGGGUGUAAAGGGUGCUCAGGCGGGUCAAUAAGUCAGAGGUGAAAUCCUGCAGCUUAACUGCAGAACUGCCUUUGAUACUGUUGAUCUAGAGUUCAAGAGAGGAUGAUGGAAUUCAUGGUGUAGCAGUGAAAUGCGUAGAUAUCAUGAAGAACACCAGUAGCGAAGGCGGUCAUCUGGCUUGAUACUGACGCUCAAGCACGAAAGCGUGGGGAG
rnacentral:rRNA from 1 species